AUCUUUAAAAAUAAAUAAAAAAUAAUUUUAAAAAUGUAGAAGUUUUGUGGCUCUACUGAAACACAAGUUAUGUUUCCAUCACAUCAGGUUUAUGGCAGUGGUGACAACGAGACUUGUAACAUUU
rnacentral:snoRNA from 1 species